ensembl:lncRNA
CCCAGUGUUAGGGACCAAAUGACGGUCUCUAGGACCUGAGUCAUGUUUACCAAAAAGAGACAGGAUAUGCGCUCAUCCUGCCUGGCCAAUCAUGUAACGCCAGCUAUUCCUGUAACUGAGACAAAGAACUGCCUGUAUAUAAGCCGCCAUACUCCUUUGUUUGGGGCUCUUGGCGGAUUCCCUUGUGUGGGAUGAGACUUGGGCCCUAGCGUGCUAGAGAUAAACUCCCUUCUUGUUUUUGCAUUACUGUGGUGGACUUGCUCUCUCGGUCGGUUCGGAGAUACGGGCUCGGAGCAUAACAUUUGGGGGCUCGUCCGGGAUCUCUGUCCCGCUGGGGAGGACAACUCUCCUGGUAGAAGGGAGUAACCUUGUUAAGAGAUAAGAGCUCUGAGCACCGGUGCUAAUGUUGCAGAAGCCCAGAUUAAGUCUGGGGCCCAGUUUCGUGCUGGGGAGGCAUCUGGGUGUAAAGUGCAGAGGUAAGCCCAGCGUAAGGCCGGGGCCCGGUUUCGUGCUGGGGAGGCGGCUGGCUCUGUGAACAUCCUGCAGUAAUGAGAUCCCCCAAGAACGGUUGCUGGCAGCCCACUACCGCUGUUGCUGGGGGCUGAGGGUUGAGUGGGUCUGAGUGCUUGCCUGUGAGCAAUUCAGGACCCUAAGAGAUUCCCAAAGAAACUGCUGCUCUGAGGUUAUUCAUCUGAUGCGAAGAUGCUGGUGAGAAAAGACAUUUUCUGGCUGAGUGCCAAAGAAUUAAUGCUUUUGAACUGUGG